ACGAGAGUGGCUUAGUGGAAGCUUGGUGGGCUCAUAAUCCACAGGUCCUAGGAAGAUCGAAACCUGCCUCUGAUA